rfam:Dipodomys ordii contig_15474, whole genome shotgun sequence.
GGAUGUAAGGUCUAUCUGGCUGUGACAUCUGUCACCCCAUUGAUUGAUUCAGCCAGGGUUGAUUCGGCUGAUCUGGCUGGCUAGGCGGGUGUCCCCUUCCUCCCUCACCGCUCCAUGUGCGUCCCUCCCGAAGCUGCGUGCUUGGUCGAAGAGGAUGACCAUCCCUGAUAGAGGAGGACCAGUCUUAGGUCAAGGAUAUACGAGUAACUGCGCUCCCCUGCUAGAACCUCCAAACAAGCUCUCAAGAAGCACAGGGACAGUGCUCAGGCCCUGAGUUCAAGCCCCAGGACUGGCAAAAAUGGGGGGAGGUAAAACAACAAAACCCUCUUAUUUCCAUUUCUUGGAGUUCAUUUCGAU